UACGUAGGGCGCAAGCGUUGUCCGGAAUUAUUGGGCGUAAAGAGCUCGUAGGCGGCCUGUUGCGUCCGCUGUGAAAUCCCGGGGCUCAACCCCGGGCCUGCAGUGGAUACGGGCUGGCUAGAGGCAGGCAGGGGAGAACGGAAUUCCUGGUGUAGCGGUGAAAUGCGCAGAUAUCAGGAGGAACACCGGUGGCGAAGGCGGUUCUCUGGGCCGUUACUGACGCUGAGGAGCGAAAGCGUGGGGAGCGAACAGG
rnacentral:rRNA from 1 species